UUCUUCUUUACUCUUUGUGUG
rnacentral:snRNA from 1 species